AAGUCGUAACAAGGUUUCCGUAGGUGAACCUGCGGAAGGAUCAUUAACACGUAUCCACGUAUCAACCAACCCGUGAAUAGUUUUCAGUCUCCCUCAUCAUCAACUAAUAAAUCGGAAUCGACCGCGACUUAGAGUGGGCUUCUCGAAGCGACCGUGGUUCAUUACUUAGACUUUCGGGUCUAGACGAUUGCCUAGUUGACGAGGCUAAAAUGUCUUACCAUUGUGGGCUUCCAACUCUGUUUGUGGUGGUAAGACGACCUUAACCUUAACUAUAUUAACCGCUUUUUGCUAGUUGACUUUUAUAUGUGUUUCUUAGCUUCGGCUUGGAUCACACGUUUAAUUAUUUGAACGUUAAAAAUACAACUCUUAGCAAUGGAUAUCUUGGUUCUC
rnacentral:misc_RNA from 1 species